GCGAGAGUAGUGUAGUGGUUAUCACCGGGCGUUACCAACGCCUGAACUCGAGUUCGAGUCCCGGUUCUCGCA
rnacentral:tRNA from 1 species